ACCUGGUUGAUCCUGCCAGUAGUCAUUCGCUUGUCUCAAAGAUUAAGCCAUGCACGUCUUAGACUAAACAUUAGUGUAAAUCUGCGAAUGGCUCAUUAUAUCAGUUAUAGUUUAUUUGAUAGUACCUCAUACUCGGAUACCCGUAGUAAUUCUAGAGCUAAUACGUGCACUACAGUCCUGUAAAGGAUGUGCUUAUUAGAAAAACCAACACUCAUUGGUGAAUCAUAAUAAUCAAACGGAUCGUAUGCUUCGGCGACGAUGUUUCAUUCAAGUUUCUGCCCUAUCAGCUUUCGAUGGUAGGGUAUUGGCCUACCAUGGCACUGACGGGUAACGGAGAAUUAGGGUUCGAUUCCGGAGAGGGAGCCUGAGAAACGGCUACCACAUCUAAGGAAGGCAGCAGGCGCGUAAAUUACCCAAUCCUAACUCAGGGAGGUAGUGACAAUAAAUAACGAUGCGGAACCAUAUUGGUUUUGCAAUUGGAAUGAGAUAUACUUAACCUACAAACCGAGGACCAAUUGGAGGGCAAGUCUGGUGCCAGCAGCCGCGGUAAUUCCAGCUCCAAUAGCGAAUAUUAAAGUUGUUGCAGUUAAAAAGCUCGUAGUUGAAUUUCUGGGGUAUGAGUUGGGACCGCUUGAUUGCGUGUCCUUGACUUAUAAUCCAUCCUGACAGGGAGUACAUUGGCCUUAAUUGGUUUGGUGUAUCAACCUGUCUCUAUUACUGUGAGAAAAUCAAAGUGUUUAAAGCAGGCAAUCGCUUGAAUACAUUAGCAUGGAAUAAUAAGAUAGGACAUUUGAUCUAUUUUGUUGGUUGCGAUCAAACGUAAUGAUUAAUGGCGACGGUUGGGGGCCUUUGUAUUGAGAUGGAAGAGGUGAAAUUCUUGGAUUUUCUCAAGACAAACUACUGCGAAAGCACUGGCCAAGAACGCUCGCAUCAAUCAAGAACGAAAGUCAGGGGAUCGAAGAGGAUUAGAUACCCUCGUAGUCUUGACCAUAAACUAUGCCGACUCAGGAUUGGUAGACGUUGUUUACGACUCUAUCAGCACUGUAUGAAAAAUCAAAGUCUUUGGGUUCCGGGGGGAGUAUGGUCGCAAGGCUGAAACUUAAAGGAAUUGACGGAAGGGCACCACCAGGAGUGGAGCCUGCGGCUUAAUUUGACUCAACACGGGGAAACUUACCAGGUCCAGACAUAGUAAGGAUUGACAGAUUGAAAGCUUUUUCUUGAUUCUAUGGGUGGUGGUGCAUGGUCGUUCUUAGUUGGUGGAGUGAUUUGUCUGGUUAAUUCCGUUAACGAACGAGACCUCCGCCUGCUAAAUAGUUUGGCAACGUACGCGUUGUACAAACUUCUUAGAGGGACUAUGGGUGUUUAGCUCAUGGAAGUUGGAGGCAAUAACAGGUCUGUGAUGCCCUUAGAUGCUCUGGGCCGCACGCGCGCUACACUGACCAAUGCAACAAGUUUCUUUCCUUGGCCGACAGGCCUGGGCAAUCUUUGAACAUUGGUCGUGAUGGGGAUAGAUUCUUGUAAUUUUUGAUCUUCAACGAGGAAUUCCUAGUAAACGCAAGUCAUCAGCUUGCAUUGAUUACGUCCCUGCCCUUUGUACACACCGCCCGUCGCACCUACCGAUUGAAUGGUCCGGUGAAAUCUCCGGAUUGGAACGAGUCUGAGCAAUUGGACAAGUACUGAGAAGUUGAUUAAACCUUAUCAUUUAGAGGAAGGUGAAGUCGUAACAAGGUUUCCGUAGGUGAACCAGCGGAAG
rnacentral:rRNA from 1 species